rnacentral:rRNA from 1 species
AGGACGAACGCUGGCGGCGUGCCUAACACAUGCAAGUCGAACGAGUCCAGGAUUUCGGUCCUGAGGCGAGUGGCGGACGGGUGAGUAACACGUGAGCAAUUUGUCUCUGUGUGGGGGACAACCCGGGGAAACCCGGGCUAAUACCGCAUAGUCAGGCACCUUGAGUGGGGAGCCUGGGAAAGACGGCCUCUUUACAAUGCUGUCAUGCAGAGAGAAGCUCGCGGGCUAUCAGCUAGUUGGUGCGGUAACGGCGCACCAAGGCUACGACGGCUACGGGGUCUGAGAGGACGACCCCGCACAUUGGAACUGAGACACGGUCCAGACUCCUACGGGAGGCAGCAGUGGGAAUUUGGGCAAUGGCCGCAAGGCUGACCAGCGACGCCGCGUGCGGAUGACGCCGUUCGGGUAGUAAACCGCUGUCGAGAGGGAAGAAGUGAGUCGAGGUAGUAAAAUAAUGACCUGGCUGUGACGGUACCCUACGAAAGGAAGCCGACCGGACUAACCGUCCGU